UGGGGAAUAUUGCACAAUGGGCGCAAGCCUGAUGCAGCCAUGCCGCGUGUGUGAAGAAGGCCUUCGGGUUGCAAAGCACUUUCAGCGAGGAGGAAGGGUAGUGUGUUAAUAGCACAUUGCAUUGACGUUACUCGCAGAAGAAGCACCGGCUAACUCCGUGCCAGCAGCCGCGGUAAUACGGAGGGUGCAAGCGUUAAUCGGAAUUACUGGGCGUAAAGCGCACGCAGGCGGUUUGUUAAGUCAGAUGUGAAAUCCCCGCGCUUAACGUGGGAACUGCAUUUGAAACUGGCAAGCUAGAGUCUUGUAGAGGGGGGUAGAAUUCCAGGUGUAGCGGUGAAAUGCGUAGAGAUCUGGAGGAAUACCGGUGGCGAAGGCGGCCCCCUGGACAAAGACUGACGCUCAGGUGCGAAAGCGUGGGGAGCAAACA
rnacentral:rRNA from 1 species